rnacentral:rRNA from 1 species
UUUAAAGAGAGUUUGAUCCUGGCUCAGGACGAACGCUGGCGGCGUGCCUAAUACAUGCAAGUCGAACGAACGGAGGAAGAGCUUGCUCUUCCAAAGUUAGUGGCGGACGGGUGAGUAACACGUGGGCAACCUGCCUGUAAGUUGGGGAUAACUCCGGGAAACCGGGGCUAAUA